rnacentral:lncRNA from 1 species
AAAGCUAUGACUGCGGCCGCGGGUUCGGCGGGCCGCGCCGCGGUGCCCUUGCUGCUGUGUGCGCUGCUGGCGCCCGGCGGCGCGUACGUGCUCGACGACUCCGACGGGCUGGGCCGGGAGUUCGACGGCAUCGGCGCGGUCAGCGGCGGCGGGGACUGGUGCCUCAAGGUCUCUUUAAAAGGAAGAUAAGCGAGCGGCCUGAAACUACCGGGUACUCCCUCUGGGCCCAUGGGCUUCAUGGUGGCCGACCUUUGGGCAACCUCCCGACUUCUAGUAAAUUACCCAGAGCCCUAUCGUUCUCAGAUAUUGGAUUAUCUCUUUAAGCCGAAUUUUGGUGCCUCUUUGCAUAUUUUAAAAGUGGAAAUAGGUGGUGAUGGGCAGACAACAGACGGCACUGAGCCCUCCCACAUGCAUUAUGCACUAGAUGAGAAUUAUUUCCGAGGAUACGAGUGGUGGUUGAUGAAAGAAGCUAAGAAGAGGAAUCCCAAUAUUACACUCAUUGGGUUGCCAUGGUCAUUCCCUGGAUGGCUGGGAAAAGGUUUCGACUGGCCUUAUGUCAAUCUUCAGCUGACUGCCUAUUAUGUCGUGACCUGGA